CGGGGGGAGCAAGCGUUGUUCGGAUUUACUGGGCGUAAAGGGCGCGUAGGCGGCGCGACAAGUCACUUGUGAAAUCUCUGGGCUCAACCCAGAACGGUCAAGUGAUACUGUCGUGCUAGAGUGCGGAAGGGGCAACUGGAAUUCUUGGUGUAGCGGUGAAAUGCGUAGAUAUCAAGAGGAACACCUGCGGCGAAGGCGGGUUGCUGGGCCGACACUGACGCUGAGGCGCGAAAGCUAGGGGAGCGAACGGGAUUAGAUACCCCGGUAGUCCUAGCCUUAAACGAUGAAUGCUUGGUGUCCGGAGUUAGAUCGUCUCCGGGUGCCGUCGCUAACGCUUUAAGCAUUCCGCCUGGGGAGUACGGUCGCAAGACUA
rnacentral:rRNA from 1 species